rnacentral:rRNA from 1 species
AUGGGCGAGCUUGGGGGAGGCCUUGAGUGCCUGCGCUCGGGUGAGGCCGCAGGUGGAGACGAGGUAGUCCUCCACGGCGAACCCGGUGGUCGGGGAGAUGCCGGAGGCUGUGGCACCGGAGAGGAGGCGGCGGGGAGAGGAGAGGAUGCAGCUCCGAGCGUGUACCUGUGGUCGGGCGGCGGAGGAUAUGAGGCGGUGGAUAGGGGAGGCGGUGGUGGCGGAGGGAGUGGUGAGCGUCUGGAUGAGGAGGCGGCCUCGGCGCCGGAGCAUGGCGGCGCCGGCGGCGAGGGGAGGGAGGGAGCUGGGUGA